GAUCUGUUGAAAAAUUCCUUUGCAAGAAUGUGCCUCAAGAUGUGGAGAGAGAAAAUGAGUUGCUGUCAUGAAGCACCAAGAUGAAAAGUGCAGCAUUCACAGGAUAAAAAUAUGGAGUGUUGUGAAAUCCAGAAUCAUAAGUAAGAGGAGAACCUGAGAGUGUAAACCCGAAUCCUCAAAGACCUGAGGGAUUGCUCAAUUAAAGCCAGCUCAUCAAAGAACAGUGGCUUGCUUUCGUGUGUGUGUGGAUAGAUGCCCAUUGAUCCAUUAGAAUUAAGUGGGAUCACAAAAGAGAUGCUGGCUUCUCACAGUGGCUACUAUUGCCUGAUGAAAUAUGGAUUUAUGUGUUUUCCCUUCUGUCGCACAAAGAGCUCGCUCAGGUUGCACAAGUGUGUCACCACUUCCACCAGCUUGCAAGUGAUCAAAGUCUAUGUAAGCAGACAAAACAGUAUUCGAGAUGAAUGGGCCAUCAUUGGGAAGAAAAUGUCCAUUUGGCUUCAUCAAGUUUGCUUUCUAACUUUUCCAUUGUCUAAGAUAAGUCCUUUGGAAAAUGCAGUACACUUUACUGGCCAUUGUCAUGUUGACUGGUACAAUACUGUGACUUAUUCAUUUGUUCAUCCAUCCAACCUAUACACCAGGUGCUCUGGGGAUGACGAAGAGAAUGAGACAUCGGCCCCACCCUCAAAGUACUUUUGUGCUAUUGGGGAGACAGAUCUAGAGCCAACUAAUGGAGACAUAGCUAAUAAUGGCAAUAAUAAUAAUAAUGAUCAUUAUAAUCAUUUACUGAGUACUUUCUACGUGCCAGGCAUUAUACCGUUUCAUGGACUUUAUCUCGUUUAUUUCUCCCAACAAUCAUAUGAAUCAGAACUUUCUCCAUCCCCAUCUUGCCGAGGAAGGCAGGCAGUCUUGGAGAGGUUCAGUGACGCGCCUACAAUCUCAUGGCUGGUAGAUGGCAGAGCUUACUCAUGA
rnacentral:lncRNA from 1 species